AGGGUGUGUUAAGAGCAAGUUUUCAGAGAUAUGGAAUUCUUGUUUAAGCCACACCCGACAUAAAUUUGUUAGAUUUUUUCCUCUUUGUGAAUAAAAGAAACUUUGCAAAGUUCAUAUCUGACAUACAU